rnacentral:rRNA from 1 species
AUUGAACGCUGGCGGCAUGCCUUACACAUGCAAAUCGAACGGUAACGGGCCUUCGGGUGCCGACGAGUGGCGAACGGGUGAGUAAUACAUCGGAACGUGCCCGAUCGUGGGGGAUAACGAGGCGAAAGCUUUGCUAAUACCGCAUACGAUCUACGGAUGAAAGCAGGGGACCGCAAGGCCUUGCGCGGACGGAGCGGCCGACGGCAGAUUAGGUAGUUGGUGGGAUAAAAGCUUACCAAGCCGACGAUCUGUAGCUGGUCUGAGAGGAUGAUCAGCCACACUGGGACUGAGACACGGCCCAGACUCCUACGGGAGGCAGCAGUGGGGAAUUUUGGACAAUGGGCGCAAGCCUGAUCCAGCCAUGCCGCGUGCAGGAUGAAGGCCUUCGGGUUGUAAACUGAUUUUGUACGGAACGAAAAGCCUUCUUUUAAUACAGGAGGGUCAUGACGGUACCGUAAGAAUAAGCACCGGCUAACUACGUG